rnacentral:rRNA from 1 species
AACGAACGCUGGCGGCGUGCCUCAUACAUGCAAGUCGUACGCGAAUCCUGCCGCAAGGCAGGGUUUGAGUGGCAAACGGGUGCGUAACACGUAGGUAAUCUUCCUUUGAGUUGGGGAUAAACCCUCGAAAGGGGGUCUAAUACCGAAUAACACUUCUGGUUGGCAUCAACCGGAAAUUAAAGAUGGCCUCUGCUUGCAAGCUAUCGCUCGGAGAUGAGCCUGCGGCCGAUUAGUUAGUUGGCGGGAUAAAAGCCCACCAAGACUUCGAUCGGUAGCCGGUCUGAGAGGAUGUCCGGCCACACUGGGGACUGAGAUACGGCCCAGACUCCUACGGGGAGCAGCAGUAGGGAAUAUUGCGCAAUGGCCGCAAGCUGACGCAGCAACGCCGCGUGGGGGAUG